CUUACCGAAGGGCACGGCGCUAUGUGGGUGUGGAGCGGUUGCAUGGCGGUGGGCUGCGCUGCACUGCUGUCCGCCGCGGGACGAUCAGUGGCAGCUCCCUUUAGCACCGUCCAGGCUGCGGGGGCUUGGGCCUCCUGGGUGCUCAUUGCGGGUGCUGACUACCAUUCCUCUGUUGGUGGGGCCCGUGCCCUGCUGCUCUCUCCAAACAGUGCAUAGGCUGCUAAAGAAGGGAAAGCAGCGGGUGUUCAGGCAUUAACCCCCAGACCCCUCUUGGUAGCUAAAUUAAAGUUAAAAUCUUUUAGAAGGAGGUUUCUGCAAAGCUCUCCAAACCUGUAAUUGCCUAGAAGUUCAGAUUGGCCCUAAUGCCUUCACUGAUACAAGUGACAAGUGAACAUCAGAGAACAAAGCUGUGUGAAAUCUUCCAGAGAAGAAAUCAGUUUCUAUCCAAGCAGGAGCAUCCAACUUCAAAAUUAACACUGAGUGUAGAGGUUUUCAGCUGAGGAUCCUGCACUGGUACUUGAGACCCUACACAAGCCUUUUGAGCAAGGACUCCUAGAAGUGAGCAACAUGUUGGAGAGAAUUAAGCAAGCAAGGUCAGAAACUGAACCAUAGAACUCUUGCCUUCUUCAUGGAAAAGAAAACUGUAGGCUUUUUCUGCUGAGUUUGUACUUGUAUUGGACACUUAGCCCAUGGUUAAACCCAAAGACCAUGGUGAAUACUUCAAUGGAGUUGGUUCCACACAGAAUGCUGGAAGGAGAAAGAAGUGAAGAAAUAAAUUUCAUAUUAAUUUCCUGAGAUUUUUUUUUUCUGAUGAGGAUCAUGAAAUUAUACUGUAGCAUGGUCAUCUAUGUAUAGAAGGAAAGCUCAGGAACCUUAACUUGGCAAGGAAACGAGUUGAAGGGGAUGGUAGUUACAAAGGCACAGAUGGUUGAUAUUUGACUUUGCCUGUUCUGCUAAAUAGGACAGAAUGACUUCCUGUGGCAUUUACUGUUGUUGACUGAAAGAAUGGGAAUAAGUUAUCACAGCAAAGAAAAAAGCAGAAUACUCAGUGCAAUAGUCUUUCUGAUGAGAAACUUCUGUUGCUGAAGGGAAUCUGCAAUUCUUUGUCAUAGGACUUAAACUCAUCUUACUUUUGAAAUACUUUUUCUGCACCAGUUCUGCUGAAUCUGGACUGAAGAGAGAAAGGUAAGGGAUUGCUUAACUUUUGAACACAUGUUGUUAUAGCCACGUGUUUUUGGUAAAACUUUCUUUCCUUAUUCCAUAGUUUUAGUUUUCCAGGAUAUUUUCACAUUUCAUACUUAAUUAUCCAGUUUCUAAACUGAAAAAAUCUUCAGUUCCCUAGCAGUGUUUGAAGUUGGAUGUGUGGGUAUUUGCCCUGGGAGAACCAGGACCAAAAUUCUGUACUGCCAAAGUCAAAAUGUUGUAUUUGCAUGACUUAUUUUUUUGA